rnacentral:rRNA from 1 species
AUCCAUAGGUUAAUGAGGCGAACCGGGGGAACUGAAACAUCUAAGUACCCCGAGGAAAAGAAAUCAACCGAGAUUCCCCCAGUAGCGGCGAGCGAACGGGGAGCAGCCCAGAGCCUGAAUCAGUGUGUGUGUUAGUGGAAGCGUCUGGAAAGGCGCGCGAUACAGGGUGACAGCCCCGUACACAAAAAUGCACAUACUGUGAGCUCGAUGAGUAGGGCGGGACACGUGGUAUCCUGUCUGAAUAUGGGGGGACCAUCCUCCAAGGCUAAAUACUCCUGACUGACCGAUAGUGAACCAGUACCGUGAGGGAAAGGCGAAAAGAACCCCGGCGAGGGGAGUGAAAAAGAACCUGAAACCGUGUACGUACAAGCAGUGGGAGCACAGAGCAAUCUGUGUGACUGCGUACCUUUUGUAUAAUGGGUCAGCGACUUAUAUUCUGUAGCAAGGUUAACCGAAUAGGGGAGCCGAAGGGAAACCGAGUCUUAACUGGGCGUUAAGUUGCAGGGUAUAGACCCGAAACCCGGUGAUCUAGCCAUGGGCAGGUUGAAGGUUGGGUAACACUAACUGGAGGACCGAACCGACUAAUGUUGAAAAAUUAGCGGAUGACUUGUGGCUGGGGGUGAAAGGCCAAUCAAACCGGGAGAUAGCUGGUUCUCCCCGAAAGCUAUUUAGGUAGCGCCUCGUGAAUUCAUCUCCGGGGGUAGAGCACUGUUUCGGCAAGGGGGUCAUCCCGACUUACCAACCCGAUGCAAACUGCGAAUACCGGAGAAUGUUAUCACGGGAGACACACGGCGGGUGCUAACGUCCGUCGUGAAGAGGGAAACAACCCAGACCGCCAGCUAAGGUCCCAAAGUCAUGGUUAAGUGGGAAACGAUGUGGGAAGGCCCAGACAGCCAGGAUGUUGGCUUAGAAGCAGCCAUCAUUUAAAGAAAGCGUAAUAGCUCACUGGUCGAGUCGGCCUGCGCGGAAGAUGUAACGGGGCUAAACCAUGCACCGAAGCUGCGGCAGCGACGCUGAUGCGUUGUUGGGUAGGGGAGCGUUCUGUAAGCCUGUGAAGGUGUGCUGUGAGGCAUGCUGGAGGUAUCAGAAGUGCGAAUGCUGACAUAAGUAACGAUAAAGCGGGUGAAAAGCCCGCUCGCCGGAAGACCAAGGGUUCCUGUCCAACGUUAAUCGGGGCAGGGUGAGUCGACCCCUAAGGCGAGGCCGAAAGGCGUAGUCGAUGGGAAACAGGUUAAUAUUCCUGUACUUGGUGUUACUGCGAAGGGGGGACGGAGAAGGCUAUGUUGGCCGGGCGACGGUUGUCCCGGUUUAAGCGUGUAGGCUGGUUUUCCAGGCAAAUCCGGAAAAUCAAGGCUGAGGCGUGAUGACGAGGCACUACGGUGCUGAAGCAACAAAUGCCCUGCUUCCAGGAAAAGCCUCUAAGCAUCAGGUAACAUCAAAUCGUACCCCAAACCGACACAGGUGGUCAGGUAGAGAAUACCAAGGCGCUUGAGAGAACUCGGGUGAAGGAACUAGGCAAAAUGGUGCCGUAACUUCGGGAGAAGGCACGCUGAUAUGUAGGUGAAGUCCCUCGCGGAUGGAGCUGAAAUCAGUCGAAGAUACCAGCUGGCUGCAACUGUUUAUUAAAAACACAGCACUGUGCAAACACGAAAGUGGACGUAUACGGUGUGACGCCUGCCCGGUGCCGGAAGGUUAAUUGAUGGGGUCAGCGCAAGCGAAGCUCUUGAUCGAAGCCCCGGUAAACGGCGGCCGUAACUAUAACGGUCCUAAGGUAGCGAAAUUCCUUGUCGGGUAAGUUCCGACCUGCACGAAUGGCGUAAUGAUGGCCAGGCUGUCUCCACCCGAGACUCAGUGAAAUUGAACUCGCUGUGAAGAUGCAGUGUACCCGCGGCAAGACGGAAAGACCCCGUGAACCUUUACUAUAGCUUGACACUGAACAUUGAGCCUUGAUGUGUAGGAUAGGUGGGAGGCUUUGAAGUGUGGACGCCAGUCUGCAUGGAGCCGACCUUGAAAUACCACCCUUUAAUGUUUGAUGUUCUAACGUGGACCCGUAAUCCGGGUUGCGGACAGUGUCUGGUGGGUAGUUUGACUGGGGCGGUCUCCUCCUAAAGAGUAACGGAGGAGCACGAAGGUUGGCUAAUCCUGGUCGGACAUCAGGAGGUUAGUGCAAUGGCAUAAGCCAGCUUGACUGCGAGCGUGACGGCGCGAGCAGGUGCGAAAGCAGGUCAUAGUGAUCCGGUGGUUCUGAAUGGAAGGGCCAUCGCUCAACGGAUAAAAGGUACUCCGGGGAUAACAGGCUGAUACCGCCCAAGAGUUCAUAUCGACGGCGGUGUUUGGCACCUCGAUGUCGGCUCAUCACAUCCUGGGGCUGAAGUAGGUCCCAAGGGUAUGGCUGUUCGCCAUUUAAAGUGGUACGCGAGCUGGGUUUAGAACGUCGUGAGACAGUUCGGUCCCUAUCUGCCGUGGGCGCUGGAGAAUUGAGGGGGGCUGCUCCUAGUACGAGAGGACCGGAGUGGACGCAUCACUGGUGUUCGGGUUGUCAUGCCAAUGGCACUGCCCGGUAGCUAAAUGCGGAAGAGAUAAGUGCUGAAAGCAUCUAAGCACGAAACUUGCCCCGAGAUGAGUUCUCCCUGACUCCUUGAGAGUCCUGAAGGAACGUUGAAGACGACGACGUUGAUAGGCCGGGUGUGUAAGCGCAGCGAUGCGUUGAGCUAACCGGUACUAAUGAACCGUGAGGCUUAACCUU